rnacentral:rRNA from 1 species
CCCUUAGAUGGUCUGGGCGGCACGCGCGCUACAAUGAUGCAUUCAAAAAGUCUUCUGACCUUAGAAGGUUGGGUAUUGUCCAAAGUGCAUCGUGAUGGGAAUAGUUUAUUGCAAUUUUUAAUCUUGAACGAGGAAUUCCUAGUAAGUACAGGUCAUCAACUUGUGUUGAUUACGUCCCUGCCCUUUGUACACACCGCCCGUCGCUCCUACCGAUUGAGUGGUCCGGUGAGGCUUUGGGAUCUGAGCGGAAAGAGCGUUUCGCUGUUUCUGCUCGGAAAACUCAGUCGAACCUUAUCAUUUAGAGGAAGGAGAAGUCGUAACA